UAAUGAUUUGGGUAGACAUUUCCUGUUUGUUAAAGACGUUCCUGUGGAGAGUUUGUCCAGGUGGUUAAUGCAGAGAACAGAAGAGGAUGUCCAGGUGGUUAAUACAGUGAACAGGAGAGGAUGUCCAGGUGGUUAAUACAGACUGAGUGAACAGGAGAGGAUGUCCAGGUGGUUAAUACAGUGAACAGGAGAGGAUGUCCAGGUGGUUAAUACAGUGAACAGGAGAGGAUGUCCAGGUGGUUAAUACAGUGAACAGGAGAGGAUGUCCAGGUGAUUAAUACAGUGAACAGGAG